GGUUCAAUGGUCUAGUGGUUAUGAUUUCUGUCUCACAUAAACAUGGGUCACAGAAGGUCUCCAGUUCGAUCCUGGAUUGAACCA